rnacentral:rRNA from 1 species
UCCUACGGGGGGCAGCAGUGAGGAAUAUUGGUCAAUGGGCGGGAGCCUGAACCAGCCAAGUCGCGUGAGGGAAGACGGUCCUAUGGAUUGUAAACCUCUUUAGGCGGGGAGCAAUGCCGGGCACGUGUGCCCGGAGGGAGAGGACCCGCAGAAUAAGCAUCGGCUAACUCCGUGCCAGCAGCCGCGGUAAUACGGAGGAUGCGGGCGUUAUCCGGAUUUAUUGGGGUUAAAGGGUGCGUAGGCGGAUUUUUAAGUAAGCGGUAAAAUGUCCGGGCUCAAACCGGGCCGGCCGUUGAAACUGGGGG